AUGGUUGUCGUCAGCUCGUGUCGUGAGAUGUUCGGUUAAGUCCUGCAACGAGCGCAACCCUUGUCCUUAGUUAGAUGAUCUAAGGAGACUGCCCGAGUAAUUGGGAGGAAGGUGGGGACGACGUCAAAUCAUCAUGCCUCUUACGAGUGGGGCCACACACGUGCUACAAUGGACGGUACAAAGAGAAGCAAAACGGCGACGUCAAGCAAAUCUCAAAAAACCGUUCUCAGUUCGGAUUGUAGUCUGCAACUCGACUACAUGAAGUCGGAAUCGCUAGUAAUCGUAGAUCAGCUACGCUACGGUGAAUACGUUCUCGGGUCUUGUACACACCGCCCGUCACACCAUGGGAGCUGGUAAUGCCCGAAGUCGGUUUUGUUAACUACGGAAACAACCGCCUAAGGCAGGACUGGUGACUGGGGUGAAGUCGUAACAAGGUAUCCCUACGAGAACGUGGGGAUGGAUUACCUCCUUUCUA
rnacentral:rRNA from 1 species